rnacentral:lncRNA from 1 species
AAUACACCACAUAUACAAACACAAAAAUUAGUAGCCAUAUUUCUCUCUUCUCUCCGAUGAGCUAUGGCCGGAUUUCGGCGAACCACCAUCACAACGCCUCCCCUCUCUUCUUUAUCUCCAUUUUCCCUCUUCUUCCCUUUUCACUGCCUCCUCACCAGCCACUACCACCUUCAAUGAAGGCUACUGCUAUCAGUUGUCGGCGACCACCACUCCAUUUUCCUCUAUUUUCCAUCGCAAGCUCGCCAAAAGUGAUGAUCAGUGAGCUUCAAUGCAAUACUACUUCUACUGUCUGCCAGGAAAUGAAUAGAUCUUACCAAUUUUGCAAUUCCAACGUUGCUCCGGCGAAAGUCGUUGAAGCAAUGCCG